AUUGAACGCUGGCGGCAGGCCUAACACAUGCAAGUCGAGCGAGCGGCGGACGGGUGAGUCAUGUAUGGGGACUGCCCGAUAGAGGGGGAUAACUCCUGGAAACGGUGGCUAAUACCGCAUACUAUCGGAUAACCCAUAUGGGAUUAGCUAGUAGGUGGGGUAAAGGCUAACCUAGGCGACGAUCACUAGCUGGACUGAGAGGGUGAUCGGCCACACUGGUAAGUGGAAACGGCCCGGACUCCUACGGAGGCAGCAGUGGGGAAUAUUGCACAAUGGGGGCAAGCCGGAUGCAGCCAUGCGGCGUGUAUGAAGAAGGCCUUAGGGUUGUAAAGUACUUUCAGCGGGGAGGCGUUACCCGCAGAAGAAGCACCGGCUAACUCCGUGCCAGCAGCCGCGGUAAUAC
rnacentral:rRNA from 1 species